rnacentral:rRNA from 1 species
GAUGAACGCUGGCGGCGUGCCUAAUACAUGCAAGUCGAGCGAACGGACGAGAAGCUUGCUUCUCUGAUGUUAGCGGCGGACGGGUGAGUAACACGUGGAUAACCUACCUAUAAGACUGGGAUAACUUCGGGAAACCGUAGCUAAUACCGGAUAAUAUUUUGAACCGCAUGGUUCAAAAGUGAAAGACGGUCUUGCUGUCACUUAUAGAUGGAUCCGCGCUGCAUUAGCUAGUUGGUAAGGUAACGGCUUAUCAAGGCAACGAUGCAUAGCCGACCUGAGAGGGUGAUCGGCCACACUGGAACUGAGACACGGUCCAGACUCCUACGGGAGGCAGCAGUAGGGAAUCGUACGCAAUGGGCGAAAGCCUGGCGGAGCAGCGCCGCGUGAGUUAUGAAGGUCUUCGGAUCGUAAAACUCUGUUAUUAGGUAAGAACAGAUUUGGAAGUAGCUGAGCACAGCUUGACGGUACCUAAUCAGAAAGCCACGGCUAACUACGUG